rnacentral:rRNA from 1 species
AUGGCUCAGAACGAACGCUGGUGGCGUGUCUUAUACAUGCAAGUCGAGCGAGGCAGCAAUGCCGAGCGGCGAACGGGUGAGUAACGCGUAAGCAAUCUGCCCCAUAUCAGGAAAUACCCGUGCCAACGCGCGGUUAAUGUCCAGGAGAGUGGCUCCUUGCAGUGAGGAGUUGACUAGAGAUUUAUCGGUAUGGGAUGAGCUUGCGUCCGAUUAGCUAGUUGGCGGGGCAACGGCCCACCAAGGCGACGAUCGGUAGCCGGCCUGAGAGGGUGAUCGGCCACAUUGGGACUGAGAUACGGCCCAGACUCCUACGGGAGGCAGCAGUAGGGAAUAUUGCACAAUGGGGGAAACCCUGAUGCAGCAACGCCACGUGUGGGAAGAAGCAUUUCGGUGUGUAAACCACUGUCAUGAGGGAAUAAGGCCCGCCUUCGGACGGACUUGAAUGUACCUUGAGAGGAAGCACCGGCAAACUUCGUGCCAGCCGCAGC